AUCAACGCUGGCGGCGUGCCUAACACAUGCAAGUCGAACGCGAAAGGGGCUUCGGCCCUGAGUAGAGUGGCGAACGGGUGAGUAAACACGUGGGUGAUCUACCUCUGAGUGGGGGAUAACCUUCCGAAAGGAGGGCUAAUACCGCAUGACGUCCCGGGUUUGAAGACCUGGACACCAAAGUCGGGGACCGCAAGGCCUGACGCUUGGAGAGGAGCCCGCGCCUGAUUAGCUAGUUGGUGAGGUAAUGGCUCACCAAGGCGACGAUCAGUAGCCGGCCUGAGAGGGGCGGACGGCCACACUGGGACUGAGACACGGCCCAGACUCCUACGGGAGGGCAGCAGUGGGGAAUUGUUCGCAAUGGGCGCAAGCCUGACGACGCAACGCCGCGUGGAGGAUGAAGGUCUUCGGAUUGUAAACUCCUUUGUUGACCGGGACGAAUGGGAAAUCCAUAAAAUAGUGGGGAGUGAAGGUACCGGAUGAGGAAGCCACGGCUAACUUCUGUGCCAGCAGCCGCGGUAAUACAGAAGGUGGCAAGCGUUAGCUUCGGAAUUACUAGGGCGUAAAGGGCAGGUAGGCGGCUUUGAUAAGUCGGACUUGUGAAAGCUCCCCAGGCUUAACUGGGAAUGAGGUCACGAUACUGGAUCAGACUUGAGUGUAGGGAGAGGGUACUGGGAAUUCCCGGUGUAGCGGUGAAAAUGCGCUAGAUAUCUGGAGGAACACCACGGGCGAAAGGCAGGUCAUCCUGGACCGAUUACUGACGCUGCAUGCUGCGAAAGCCUAGGGGAGCAAACAGGAUUAGAUACCCCUGGUAGUCCUAGGCCCUAAACGAUGCCAGUAGACUGGUGGAGGGGUAUCGAUCCCCUUGCCGUGUCCGAACGCUAAACGCAUUAAAUGUGCCGCCUGGGGAGUACGGUCCGCAAGGCUUGAAACUCAAAGGAAUUGACGGGGGCCCGCACAAGCGGUGGAGCAUGUGGUUUCAAUUCGACGCAAACGCGAAGAACCUUACCUGGGCUCGAACGACUGGAAGAUGAAUUCCGGAUGAAAGUCGGAGCUACCUGUAAAGGCAGUACCAGUCCUAGGUGCUGCAUGGCUGUCGUCAGCUCGUGUCGUGAGAUGUUGGGUUAAGUCCCGCAACGAGCGCAACCCUCGUACCCUAUGUUGCAUACGUCUGUCAAGUGGAGCACUCUUAGGGAGACUGCCGCGUGAUAAACCGGGAGGAAGGUGGGGAUGACGUCAAGUCAGCCAUGGCCUUUAUGUCCAGGGCCUACACACGUGCUACAAUGGCCGGUACAAAGCGAUCAGCAAAUCUCGCAAGGAGUGAGCUAAUCUCUAAAAGCCGGCCCCAGUUUCAGAUCGUGGGCUGCAAUUCGCCCACGUGAAGGCGGAAUCGCUAGUAAUCGGGGAUCAGCUGGCCCCGGUGAACACGUUCCCGGGCCUUGUACACACCGCCCGUCACACCACGAAAGUUGGGUGCAACCAAAAACCGGUGAUUUAACCCGCAAGGGAGAUAGCCGUCGAAGUUGUGACCAAUGAUUGGGGUG
rnacentral:rRNA from 1 species